AUAAUGCUCAAUUUCUCCCAGAAAAUGAUUGCAAUUACAAAUGCUUUGGUAGUAAGAUCUUCAUUUAUUUUACUCGCAAUGAAAAAACACAAAAGAGAAUGGGGGGAAAAAAGUUAAAUCAUUAUCAUUUUACACAAAACUCCAAAAAUGGGUCAGACAAAAUUAUUGGCACCCUUUGAAAAAUCAUGUGAUGCUUCUCUAAUUUGUGUAAAUAACAGUAGGUCUGCAGCUUUCAAUUAUUUAGUAGUCGAUUAAUCGAUGAACUAGUUAGUUCGAAUAAUCGAGUAAUCGGAGAAGGAACAUGAAAAACUAAAAUACCUAAGGUGGGCCUCAAACGGUAUAAAAAUAAAUAAAUGAGGAUCUAUGUACAACAAAAGAACACUUGGCUAACUUACAUAGCAAAUGUCUGAUAGCUUAAAUGCUAUAAAAUGCUAACCUUUUUUUUUUCCCCCAAUGCCCUUAAUAAGUGGUUCAGACUCAUAUUCCCACAAUAAACCCGCUAAAUAUACCUAGAAACUUAAAUUACAAAUGCAUUCAAAAACAUUAGCUCAAACGAAAACUUACGUUGAUCUUAACAGGGAGCAGUUGGAUUCAGCCAUGUGAAAUGAGGCAGACCAAAGGGCAGUGUAUCCACCCUUAUCAAUAAAACUAAAUGUAAACACUUUCAAAAUAAACCAUUAUAACGCCACUUUAAUUAAACGAAUACUCGAAGCAAAAAAAAAAUUAAUUCGAAUAUUUUUUUCUCAUCGAAUACUCGAGGUAAUUGAUUAAUCGUUGCAACACUAAUUAACAGCACCUGCUACUUACCUGUGGCACAUAACAGGUGAUGGCAAUAACUAAAUCACACUUGCAGCCAGUUAAAAUGGAUUAAAGUUGACUCAACUUUUGUCCUUGUGUGUACCACUUUGAGCCCGGAGAAAAGAAAGAACACCAAUGAACUGUCUGAGGACUUGAGAAGCAAAAUUGUGAGGAAGCAUGGGCAAUCUCAAGGCUACAAGUCUCCAAAGACUUGAAUGUUCCUGUGUUUACCGUGCGCAGUGUCAUCAAUAAGUGUAAAGCCUGUGGCGCUGUUGCCAGCCUCCAUAGAGGUGGACAGAAAAGAAAAAUUGACGAGAGAUUUCAACGAAAGAACGAAAGAAAGGGCUGGUGGAUAAAGAACCUCGACUAACAACCAAACAAGUUCAAGCUGUCCUGCAGUACAACGGUGUCAACCCGUUCAAUCCGUCAGCAUCUGAAUGAAAAGGGACUCUAUGGUAGGAUACCCAGACAAACGUAGAGCUUUUUGGGAAAAGGCAUUAACAUAGAGUUUACAGGGGAAAAAAACGAGGCCUUCAAAGAAAAGAACACGGUCCUGGAGUCAAACAUGGCAGAGGUUUCCUGAUGUUUUGGAGUUGCUUUGCUUCCUCUGGCACUGGAGUGCUUGACCGUGUGCAUGGCAUUAUGAAGUCUGAAGACUACCAACAAAUUUUGCGGCAUAAUGUAGGGCCCAGUGUGAGAAAGCUGGGUCUCCCUCAGAGGUCAUGGGUCUUCCAGCAGGGCAAUGGCCCAAAACACACUUCAAAAAGCACUAGAAAACGGUUUGAGAGAAAGCACUUUAUACUUCUAAAGUGGCCAGCAAUGAGUCCAGACCUUAAUCCCAUAGAACACCUGUGGAGAGAUCUGAAAAUGGCAGUUUGGAGAAGGCACCCUUCAAAUCUCAGAGACCUGGAGCAGUUGGCCAAAGAAGAAUGGUCUAAAAUUCCAGCAGAGCAUUGUAAGAAACUCAGUGAUGGAUACUAGGAGCGUUUGUUCCCAGUUAUUUCAUCUAAGGGUUGUGCUACCAAGUAUUAGGUUAAGGGUGCCAAUACUUUUGUCGGGCCCAUUUUUGCAGUUUUGUGUAAAAUUAUAAUGAUUUCAUGUUUUCCCCAUUCUCUUUUGUGUUUUUAAUUGCAAGCAAAAUAAAUUAAGAUAUUAAUACCAAAGCAUUUGUAAUUGCAAUCAUUUUCUGGGAGAAAUUGAGCAUUAUCUGACAGAACUGCAGGGGUGCCAAGCAAUUGCUCUUUUCAUUUGGUCUUAUUUCGUGUCACAUUAAGAAAUAUGCCUUCAGCUGGAGAGGGCUCGACACGCCCCAUAUUUUGGGGCUACCAGAGAUGUAUUCAAGAGGUUUUAGUAUUCACGGCAGGUCUAGGUGUGCUUGUGUAGCUCAUCUUAGUCUCGUGCUGUGUGAGAUAGUCGGGUUUUUUUUCAGAUGGAUUGUGGGAAAGUUCUAGAUGGCGGCACAGAAAAGGAAGGAACUGCAGGUGGAGAGGUGGUGUGCUGGUUGGGAUUUGGAGGGACGCACACACACAAAUUACAUACUGGGUGGAUGCAAGCCACUCAUAGAAGCAGCACCUGUCAGCUGGUGUUCCCCUGCAGCCAAGUGUGUGUGCUUCUCCCUUAGUGUGUGUGCGUGUGUUGCUCCGUGCAUGUCAGACAGCCUGAAUAAACUAGUAGAAAAAUAACAGCAAACUGAGUAAUCAUCUACAUAUUUUAAACGGGUUGUUGACUGAUGUGAGAUCAUUUUUAUUUCAAAGAUGAUCACUGCCAGCCCUCGCAGUUUAACUCUUUGGCUACCACUGAAUGCAACAAACUCCCUGCAAUUCACAGAGUCGCCGUCAACAGCAACCAAUGAGUUAAUACAUCAGAGAAAACCGUUUCCAAGCCUUGCUCAGUGCUACUGUUUUGUACAAGGUUCAAAUAGGCUCAGCAGUUAGCUCCUUAAAAGAGACAAAGUAGAGAUUUCUAAUUACGAUUUAAAACAACUCCCAGGUCUUGUAUAAAACUCUCUAAUGUCUGCAUGUAAACAACAGAAUCUACGAUUCAAAUUGCUAUAAUUACAGCUCAUCUGUUUUUACUUUCCUGGUAGGAAAAUUGUUUGAGAGUGUGAUUGAUUUUCUUUUUACCUGCUGGAGAGACUGGCGACUAAUUGAGGGAAAGUGUCUCUCGGCUUGUUUUUGAGGAACUGCAGUUGGAACAAGUUGUCAUGUGACCAACACAUUUACCAGGAAAUUGCAUGAGUUAAUAUGAUCCGAGGAACAUGUAAGUCCCGAGUCUUACAUGUCUUGGGCAAGUCGCAUCGAGUCACGAGGUUGUGUCGAGUCUCGAGGUUAUGUCGAGUCGAGUCACGAGGUUAUGUCGAGUCGAGUCACGAGGUUAUGUCGAGUAAAGUCACGUCAAGUCAGGAGGUUAUGUCGAGUCACGAGGUUAUGUCGAGUCUUGAGGUCAAGUCGAGUCGAGUCUCGAGGUUAUGUCGAGUCGAGUCUCGAGGUUAUGUCGAGUCGAGUCUCGAGGUUAUGUCGAGUCUCGAGGUUAUGUCGAGUCGAGUCUCGAGGUUAUGUCGAGUCCCGAGGUUAUGUCGAGUCAAGUGGCAUCGAGUCAGGAGCUUAUGUCGAGUCAAGUCGUGUCGAGUCAGGAGGUUAUGUCGAGUCAGGAGGUUAUGUCGAGUGUAGUCUCAGGGUUAAGUCGAGUCGAGUCUCAAGGUUAUGUCGAGUCGAGUCUUGAGGUUAUGUCGAGUCUCGACGUUAUGUCAAGUCGCGUCGAGUCAGGAGGUUAUGUCGAGUCACGAAGUUAUGUCAAGUCGCGUCGAGUCACAAGGUUAUGUCAAGUCACAAGGUUAAGUCGAGUCUCAAGGUUAUGUCGAGUCGAGUCUUGAGGUUAUGUCGAGUCUCGAGGUUAUGUCGAGUCAAGUCGCGUCGAGUCAGGAGGUUAUGUCGAGUCACGAAGUUAUGUCAAGUCGCGUCGAGUCACAAGGUUAUGUCAAGUCCCAAGGUUAUGUCGAGUCGAGUCUCGAGGUUAAGUCGAGUCUCGAGCUUAUGUCGAGUCAAGUCGCGUCGAGUCAGGAGGUUAUGUCGAGUCACGAAGUUAUGUCGAGUCGCGUCGAGUCACAAAGUUAUGUCGAGUUGCAUCGAGUCACGAGGUUAUGUCGAGUCACGAGGUUGUCAAGUCGAGUCUCGAGGUUAAGUCGAGUCUCGAGGUUAUGUCAAGUUUCGAGAUAAUGGCGAGUCGAGUCACAAGGUUAUGUUGAGUCGAGUCACGAGGUUAUGUCGAGUCAAGUGGCAUCGAGUCAGGAGGUUAUGUCGAGUCAAGUCGCGUCGAGUCAUGAGGUUAUGUCGAGUCACGAGUCGAGUCACGAGGUUAAGUCGAAUCUCGAGGUGUCGAGUCUCGAGGUUGUGUCGAGUGGAGUCACGAGGUUAUGUCGAGUCGAGUCUCGAGGUUUAGUUCGAGUCUCAAGGUUAUGUCGAGUAUCGAGGUAAUAUCGAGUCGAGUCUUGAGGUUAUGUCGAGUCGAGUCUCGAGGUUAUGUCGAGUCGAGUCAGGAGGUUAUGUCGAGUCAAGUGGCAUCGAGUCAGGAGGUCAUGUCGAGUCGAGUCAAGUCUCGAGGUUAUGUCGAGUCUCGAGGUUAUGUCGAGUCUCGAGGUUGUGUCGAGUUUCGAGGUAAUGUCGAGUCGAGUCACGAGGUUAUGUCGAGUCAAGUGGCAUUGAGUCAGGAGGUUAUGUCGAGUCAAGUGGCGUCGAGUCACGAGGUUAUGUCGAGUCUCAAUGUUGUGUCGAGUCUCGAGGUUGUGUCGUCUCAAGGUUAUGUCGAGUGGAGUCGCGAGGUUAUGUCGAGUAAAGUCGAGUCAGGAGGUUAGGUCGAGUCACGAAGUUAUGUCGAGUCGCGUUGAGUCACGAGGUUAUGUCGAGUCUUGAGGUUAAGUCGAGUCGAGUCUCGAGGUUAAGUCGAGUCUCGAGGUUAAGUUGAGUCGAGUCUCGAGGUUAAGUCGAGUCGAGUCUCGAGGUUAUGUCGAGUCGAGUCUCGAGGUUAUGCCGAGUCUCGAGGGAAUGUCGAGUCGAGUCUCAAGGUAAUGUGGCAUCGAGUCAGGAGGUUACGUCGAGUCGCGUGAAGUCAGGAGGUUAUGUCGAGUUGAGUCACGAGGUUAUGUCGAGUCGAGUCACAAAGUUAUAUCGAGUCCAGUCUCGAGGUUAUGUCAGGUCGAGUCGAAUCUUGAGGUUAUGUUGACGCUUGAGGUUAAGUUGAGUGGAGUCUCGAGGUUAUGUCAAGUCUCGAGGUUAUAUCGACUCGAGUCUCGAGGUUAUGUCGAGUCAAGCAGAGUUAAAAGUUUUCAAGACGAGACAAGUUGAGUUAUAGGUUACUUAAGGCCUUCACCAUUGUUCCCCAGCCCAUCCACAAAGCACUCAGGUUUAUCUUUGAAGAGAAACCUUACGGUCAAUGUAAGUCAUAAUUUAAAAAAAAAAGCAGUAUAAUGUGCAGGGAAUUUGAUAGUUUUUUUUUAUUGCCAUGAUGUUCCGUGAAGGCGUGGUGAGUCAGCUUAUCGAGUCUCGAGUUAUUGCCUCACUAGCUGAGUCCCGAGUCUCGAACCCUUUCAGCUCAAGCAAGUCAAAUCCUAGCCUGUGUUUUUUUCUUCAAGUCCGAGUUGAGCAGCGAGUCAUCAAAUUUGCAAGUCUCUCAGACUCGAGUCCAAUUGUCUGACAUUUACUCACGCUUUAAAUAGAGCUGAGAAACCUUAAACAUGAUGUUAAACACUGCAAAUAUUUUUCUAUGAGUACCCAUCAAAAUGUGUCAGCAGAAAGAUGAGAGUUUAGUUAAGCCUGACUAUCCCUCCUUCCUCUACCUCCUGUAGCUUGCCAACUCCCACCAUGCAUUUGUGCUUUAAAAGCUGCCAGGCGAGGCUUCCUAGGUUGCCUACCCCGCUGUCAUGCUGCCUUACAUCCCGCUGUCACCUAGCCAAUUAACUUUUUAAAUUAGUGAUUAAAAAAAGUUGCCCGUAGCCACCUUUUCAUCGUUAAGAGUUGCCAACCUUUUGUCGUGUCGGCUCGUGGCGCUGCCCGCCGAGGUUUUACUUUUCUAUAAACACCCACGCACUGUCUGCUCCGCUUGCUUGUUAAAUUACAAAGUCUACGUGGGUUAAGUCCCAGCUCACAAUAGUGUUAAAGGCUGCCGUGUGUUCAAAAACGGCACGCAUUCAAUUAGCUCGGGAGGUAUGAUGCAAAAUAGUGGCGUUGGCUGCAAACUGCUAUGUAGCUCGCAAGCUAACAUGUUGUCAUUGACUCUUCUAUAGCCAAUGAUGCCAAUAAACAUUAUAAAUAUAAUAUUUUUACUGGAACAGCUAGAAGAAAAGGUUUCAGUGCUAUUGACAGCGACAGACAAAGAAUCCAGUUCAAAUUGGACGUCUAUUGCCGUCAAAAGUGGGGAAUGCAUUAAAAAAACUGCUUUCGGCCUCUCAAUCAAGCCAUAUAAGCCAUACAUUGAGGAAGCAAACCAUGGGUUUAGGAGCUAAAAAGGCCUUUUCUUGAUGCUGUAAUGGCUGCCAUAAAUUUGCGUGAAAACGACCUUCUUCUCUCCAUGGUGCUGCGCUCUAAUUUUCACCCGAAGGAGAGUGCAUGAAUUAUUUCUUUUCUUUCUAUUUCUGUUGCAAACUUCCACACUUUGCCCAACGCUAAUAGACAAGCAACCGUGUAUUGUCGUGCGCUACCACUUUCCGCAGAUACAGUGUGGCAAAUAAGUAUUUAGUCAUCCACUAAUUGUGCAAGUUCUCCUACUUGAUAAUAUUAGAGAGGCCUGUAGUUGUCAACAUGGGUAAACCUCAACCAUGAGAGACAGAAUGUGGAAAAAAAAAACAGAAAAUCACAUACAGUACUUUCUGUAGGCGACAAAACUUUUGUCUUGCCAAAAUUUGACCAUUAUGUCUUCAUUAAAUGAUAAAUCUUUUUUCAGUGAAACAAAUAUAUUUUUGUACAUUCAACAUCAUUUGGGAGGGUCUUAGCUUUCAUAUGAGCCAUUUCUGAAACC